CCCCGCAGACUGAGGAAGUGGUGACCACACCAGGGAUGCGGAGCCAGGGGACCCGAGCACCGGGAGAUGACCUGAUUGCCUGGGCAGCGGACCACGGAGGCCGGGGUGGACUGCAGCCUUAGGAGGAGGACAACUGGACGGACACCGGACCUCCAAAGGGUCUCCCCAGGAACGCGGACGCAAGCUGCCAGGACUGAGGGCCCAUGCUGCAGGAGCAGCCAAAAGGACUAAAAACAGAUAAGUAGCUCCAGCAAGGCAGAUGACAGCAAACACCAGGAAGCAAAAUGUCUUCAGUCCAUUCUGUGAAUAGAAAACAAACCAAACCAGUGUUUCAGAUAUUAGAGAGACAGGUUGCCCCUGGAUACCUGCUUGCUUUUCUUGAGAGAGAAUUAACAAGUGUAACUGCUACAUUGGCCCAGUCCUAUGAACUAUGGCAUGUAUUCAAUGGCCAAUUAAAUCAGUGGGUGUAGAGAGCACGGAACACCUCUGAGCAGACCUCAUGACCAAGCCUUAAGUGAUGAAGAGGAGUUUGAAAUGCCUCCAAACUGAGAAAUAUAAUUUUUAUCGUGUGAGUGAGAGAGAGAGAGAGACAGAAGACCACACGUGAUAAAGUUACAACUCCCAUAAUAUAUUUUAAGUUAAUAAAUUCAAGGUGUAAAACAGUGCAUGUUUUGACUUCUGUUAUUUAAGAGGUAUUAUUACUUUGCUUCUUAAUUUUCUUGUUACAAAUACUAUAUACACUUAAACCUGGCAGCUCAAUCUGAACAGCUGGCCCCACAAACAAAAAUGUGAGGAGAUAAACAGAGUUUUGCCAUCUGUCAGUAGAAAAGGACUGCAAGGACAUGUUAAAAGAUCCUCAAGUUGCAGACUCCUGAAGUAGAAAAUAAAAAUUCUUAGAGUAUAACAUAGUCCAGUUUUUUCAUUGUAGCAGAAUACAGCAAGAGAAAAAUGUUUUAAAAGUGGAUGUUAUUUAGAAAUGGGUAGCUAAUCCAUAACGUUUGUGUAACAAAGAGGGAGCUACACUUUUUUGUUUUGAAAUUAUAUGAUUAUAAUGCAGUACUCAGAUGUGCACUGAAGGAGCUGGAUGAAGAUAAAGUUUAGGAAGCCAUUCUUAAAUGUGCAACUUCUACUUUUUGAAUGAGGAUGACAUUAAUAGUUGAUCUCAUGAAUAAUCCCAGAAGAAAGUCAAAACCUGAGUAAAUCUGUUUUCAUGUAUAUGCCUCUGAUUUCUAAUGGUAAGAAAGUUCUAAAAACAAAAAACAAACACACUGCAGCACACUCUUUUUUCAAUGCAACUAAAGAUGUAUUUUUGUCAUUAAAAGU